rnacentral:tRNA from 1 species
AAAAAAAUAAGCUAAUAAAGCUAAAGGGUUCAUACCCCUUCUAUGAAAGUAUUAAUCUUUCUUUUUU